rnacentral:rRNA from 1 species
GACGAACGCUGGCGGCGUGCUUAACACAUGCAAGUCGAACGGAAAGGCCCUGCUUUUUUUGUUUGCUCGAGUGGCGAACGUGUGAGUAACACGUGAGUAACCUGCCCUUGACUUUGGGAUAACUUCAGGAAACUGGGGCUAAUACCGGAUAGGAGCUCCUGCUGCAUGGUGGGGGUUGGAAAGUUUAGGUGGUUGGGGAUGGACUCGCGGCUUAUCAGCUUGGUGGUGGGGUAUUGGCUUACCAAGGCUUUGACGGGUAGCCGGCCUGAGAGGGUGACCGGCCACAUUGGGACUGAGAUAAGGCACAGACUACAACGGGAGGCAGCAGUGGGGAAUAUUGCACAAUGGGAGGAAGCCUGAUGUAGCAAAGCGGCGUGGGGGAUGACGGCAUUUGGGUUGUAAACCGCUGUCGCCUGAGACGAAGAGUGAGUGACGGUAAUGGGUAAAGAAGCACCGGCUAACUACGUG